rnacentral:rRNA from 1 species
AUUGAACGCUGGCGGCAGGCUUAACACAUGCAAGUCGAGCGGAGCGAGGGUGCUUGCACCUUAGCUUAGCGGCGGACGGGUGAGUAAUGCUUAGGAAGCUGCUUAUUAGUGGGGGACAACAUUCCGAAAGGAAUGCUAAUACCGCAUACGCCAUGCGGGGGAAAGCAGGGGAGCUUCGGACCUCGCGCUAGUAGAUGAGCCUAGGUCGGAUUAGCUAGUUGGUGGGGUAAAGGCCUACCAAGGCGACGAUCUGUAGCGGGUCUGAGAGGAUGAUCCGCCACACUGGGACUGAGACACGGCCCAGACUCCUACGGGAGGCAGCAGUGGGGAAUAUUGGACAAUGGGCGGAAGCCUGAUCCAGCCAUGCCGCGUGUGUGAAGAAGGCCUUUUGGUUGUAAAGCACUUUAAGCGAGGAGGAGGCUACUAGUACUAAUACUACUGGAUAGUGGACGUUACUCGCAGAAUAAGCACCGGCUAACUCUGUGCCAGCCGCCGCAGUAACAC